AGGCAUUAAAAAAUGAAAACCUUGAAAUACAUUUGUUUAUAUCCAACUGGAUUUUAUAUGAGAUCACUCUCCAUCUCUGCCCAAAGUCCACUGCCUUGAGACAAUGCUCAACAUCAUUACUUAUUCAGAAACUGCAAAAUAAAAGCACACUGGGAUACCACCUGCAUGAAUUGCCAUGUGAAAAUUAAAGAGUUGGCAAGAUGUCGAGAAAUUGGAACUCUAAUAUACUGCUGAAGGGAAUAGAAAGUGGCACAACCACUUUGAAAAAUCAUUGGGCAGUUUCUUAAAUAAUUAAAUAUACAUCGUUAUGUAUUCUGACAAUUUUGCCAUUAGCUAUGUAGCCAAGGGUCAUGAAAGCAUAUGGCCAAACAAAGAUUCAUAAAAGAGUAUUCAUAGCAGCUUUCUUUAUAAUUGCCAAGAAGUAGAAACAAAUCUAAAUGUGUAUUAAUAUGUGAAUGGAUAAUGUGUAUUAAUAAUGUGUAUUAAUCUAAAUGUGUAUUAAUAGGUGAAGGUGGUAUAUACAAACAAUGGAACACUACUACUCUGCAAUUAAAGAGAAUUAACUAUUAGGACAUAAAACCAACAUAGAUUAAUCUGAAAAUAAUUAUGCUGAAUGAAAGACACCACAGGAAAAGAGUACAUAUAACAUGAUUCCAUUUUUCAUAAAAUUCUAAAAAAAUGAAAGUAAUCUAUAGUGACAUGAAGCCAUUUAGCAGUUUCUUGGGAUAAGAAUGAAGCAUGGAGGGAAGACAGUGAGGGAUUGUCCAAGGAGCAUGUGGAAACUUUGGGGGAUAAUGUGUAUAUUAGUUAUCUUUAUUGUGGUGAUGGUUUUAUGAGUAUAUAUGUAUGUCAAAACUUAAGAAAUUUUAUACUUUGAAUAUAUGCACCUUAGUGUAUGUUCAAUUAUAUCUUAAUAAAAGUGAAAGAAAUGUU